GUCACAGAAUGUUCUGGCGGUACAAUCGCUGUCUUUCGCAGUUCGGUGCAGGUAACACAACCGCCUCUAUCCAGCCUUUGACACUUGGAAAACGAUCAAAGUUGAUAAUGGGAAGCAGCCGUCUAUUCCUGCUGUUCUUCCAUGUGGAUUCUCCUGUCAAUGUUCAUUGCUUGUGGAAAAGGAGGCUGAAGAAGUUGAGCAGGCAACAAUGGCAAUCUUUGUCACUGGGAAAGACGAUCAGUUUCAUCCAACCAAAGACGUCAAGGUUCUCAUCGAAGGAACAGAGGUCCUCACCGACUUGUCCUCGGUUGCGACAGCUUUUGCCAUGCUCUUCUGCUCAUAUACACACUGAACCUAAAAUAUCCGAAAGAACUGCAAUCCACUUUUGAGUUUGUGCAAAACGUCCUGAUGGAGCUUGAGGGAAACAAGAUGACCCCAAAAGUGAAUAGACUGAGAACCCAGCUGUACAUCCCAGAGUAGACCAUUUGUUGCACUCACUCACUUGAUUGCAUUCACGGAUGUUCUUAAUCGAUAGUGUUUCUAAAAACCAAAGUUUUGUAUAAUUGUAUAAAUGUUAGGGUUUGGAGUUUGCACAUGUAGGAAGAGUUUACUCAACAUGUGCAGAGUUCUUUUGCAUAAGAUGUUGGCGUAUUAUUGUGUCUGCUGAAUUUCGAAGACCAAGAAUCACAGACUAAUGUGCAGAAAAGGUUUUGGUGUUCAAAAGUUGCACUUACAGUUUGACUGCUUUUCAUUGUAGUAGUACG